AUUGAACGCUGGCGGCAGGCCUAACACAUGCAAGUCGAACGAGUGGCGGACGGGUGAGUAAUGUCUGGGAAACUGCCUGAUGGAGGGGGAUAACUACUGGAAACGGUAGCUAAUAUCGCAUACCAUCGGAUGUGCCCAUAUGGGAUUAGCUAGUAGGUGGGGUAAUGGCUCACCUCGGCGACGAUCCCUAGCUGGUCUGAGAGGAUGAGCAGCCCCACUGGGACUGAGACCCGGCCCAGACUCCGACGGGAGGCAGCAGUGGGGAAUAUUGCACAAUGGGCGCAAUCCGGAUGCAUCCAUGCCGCGUGUAUUAAGAAGGCCCUAGGGUUGUAAAGUACUUUCAGUCGGGAGGCGUUACCCACAGAAGAAGCACCGGCUAACUCCGUGCCAGCAGCCGCGGUAAUUC
rnacentral:rRNA from 1 species